rnacentral:rRNA from 1 species
AACUGCGAGUGAAGCGGCAAGAGCUCAGAUUUGAAACCUGCCGUCUCCGGCGGCCGGAUUGUAAUCUGGAGAGACAUCUUCGGAGGGGAGCCGGUCCAAGUUCCCUGGAACAGGACGUCAGAGAGGGUGAGAACCCCGUGUCUGGCCGGCCCGCCCCUCUAUGUGAAGUGUCUUCGACGAGUCGAGUUGUUUGGGAAUGCAGCUCAAAAUGGGUGGUAAACCUCAUCUAAAGCUAAAUAUUGGCGGGAGACCGAUAGCGCACAAGUAGAGUGAUCGAAAGAUGAAAAGUACCUUGAAAAGGGGGUCAAACAGUACGUGAAAUUGUUGAAAGGGAAGCGCUUGAGACCAGACUCGGGUUGGGGUGAUCAGCGGUACUUUCUGUGCCGUGCACUCGCCCCCGCCCGGGCCAGCAUCGGUUGGGACGGCGGGAUAAAGGGCCUGGGAAUGUAGCUCCCCUCGGGGAGUGUUAUAGACCGGGCCGUAAUGCCGCCUUCGCGACCGAGGACCGCGCUUCGGCUAGGAUGCUGGCGUAAUGGUCUUCAGCGACCCGUCUUGAAACACGGACCAAGGAGUCUAACAUCUAUGCGAGUGUUCGGGUGGAAAACCCCUGCGCGUAAUGAAAGUGAACGGAGGUGGGCGCCCCUCGCCGGGCACACCAUCGACCGAUCCUGAUGUCUUCGGAUGGAUUUGAGUAGGAGCAUAGCUGUUGGGACCCGAAAGAUGGUGAACUAUGCCUGAAUAGGGUGAAGCCAGAGGAAACUCUGGUGGAGGCUCGCAGCGGUUCUGACGUGCAAAUCGAUCGUCAAAUUUGGGUAUAGGGGCGAAAGACUAAUCGAACCGUCUAGUAGCUGGUCC